GUGCCAGCAGCCGCGGUAAUACGUAGGGUGCGAGCGUUAAUCGGAAUUACUGGGCGUAAAGCGUGCGCAGGCGGCUUUGCAAGACAGAGGUGAAAUCCCCGGGCUCAACCUGGGAACUGCCUUUGUGACUGCAAGGCUAGAGUACGGCUGAGGGGGAUGGAAUUCCGCGUGUAGCAGUGAAAUGCGUAGAUAUGCGGAGGAACACCGAUGGCGAAGGCAAUCCCCUGGGCCUGUACUGACGCUCAUGCACGAAAGCGUGGGGAGCAAACAGGAUUAGAUA
rnacentral:rRNA from 1 species